CAGAGCUCCAUUGCCAUGGCAGAUAAAAUCCAGAGAGGAAACAUCGGGGCUGUACCCGUGGACUCAAGGACUCAGCUCUGCCCUGCGGUGGGCACGCAGAUGGACAUAGCCUCGACGGGUGGACGUGGUUGUGGGCGCGUGACAUGAGGAGCCAGAGACACGCAGAAUGAGGUUUCUCCUGAGCAGGAAGCGUGCCCGUGAGCAACCAGCUGAGAAGUCGACCCAUCACAUGUGAAAAUGAGAAAGUCCCGUCGAGGCCAGACCCCGCUGUCCUUGGAAAGGUGUUGAGUUGAUUUCUUCCAAGGGGUGAGGGAGCAAUUCAGGUUCCCUGCCCAGCGGGUGCUCUGCCUCCCUAGUUCCGGAGGCUGGACUUUCAAGACCUGCUGAGAGCCAUCUUCCUGGUUCAUCAAUGGACGUUCUCUCCAUCAGGACAGAGACAAGACAGUUCCUUCUUACCCGUGAGAGAUACAUGUAUUGUCCAUGACUCCGCAGGAAAUUGAUUCCCGAACCCGAUGCAGAGAUGGGGAAGGGGGGAGCCAAAAGAAGGGUUUGCUGUCCAUCUUUGGCGCCAGAGGAAAGUCAGCCCCCAGAAGCUAAGCACUGAGAAGUCCAAUCUUCCACAUCCAGGGGUUUCCAGAUUCCCACUCGUGUAAGAAAUGCAGCGUGAUGUCCCAGUUUUCGUGUUUUCUUGAGAUGUGGUCCCCUUGGAGGAGCUUCCCCUGCCAGGAUGGAAUUUGAGAGCUUUCGGCUCGAGAAGAAGGGAAAUGCCCCGAACAGCCACCCGCCAGGCCCCUUGUGGCCGCUGAGAAGUUGGGGAGGAUGCAGCCAUAAAGGAGGAUGUGAAAAGUAGGCGAGAUCGCAAGGCACGAAUCUUGGAAUCUUCGUGUUUCAUCAGGAAGGCAGAGGAGGAAGGAGUCUGCGAGGUGCAGCCGCCUCUUCUGACCUCAGGAUGGAUGGAGAGGGCGUGAAGGACCCGUCAGUGACCAGCUGUUGCACAGAGAGCCCAGGGGAAGGGGGUGCCCUGGCGGGCACAUGGGAACCGAUGCUGCAGCUCAUGAAAGUUGGAGGAACAAACUGCUUUGUCCCAGGAGAAGAGGAGCAGGAUGGAACGGACGCCCGCUGUAAUCGUGGGCGGAACCGGAGGGACGGAUGCAACGCUUGGCGCUUCCGAUUCUGACAGUGGCUGACCUCACGGGAGAUGGAUGGGAAGGGUCCAGAUGUUCGAUGAGGAAACGGAGGCCACUAAGUGUUGUGUAACGUCCCAAGGGACCCAGCUCUGAAGCGGUGGAGUCAGAAUGGGUUGCUUAACAGCCACCCCCACCCUCGGCUCGGAAGACGUCCACACCCAGGGCCACACCCACAGCGUAUGGAAAUUGCCAGGCUGAGCUGAUUCGGAGCUGAAGCUGCUGCCCUGCGCCACCGCCACAGCAACGCGGCAUCCGAAACGGGUCUGUAAUCUACACCACAGCGCACGGCAACAUCAGAUCCUUAACCCACUGGGGGAAGCCAGGGAUCGAACCCACAUCCUCAGGGAUACUAGUUGGCUUCAUUCCCGCUGAGCCACGAUGGGAAUGCCCCUUUAUCCCAGUUUGAAUUUAGGAAUCUGACCAGGGGCUCUUUUUGAGGUGAUUAUGGAGAGAUUAUGGGGAAAAUAGAAUAUUCCUGUUUUACCAAAUGUCAUCGAACCUUUACAGAAAGCUCCAUUAUAUGGCCAUGUAUACAUUGUAUGCAAUUAAAUACAAGGAGAUACAAUGGUAUAUAAAUACACACGUAUGCAUUCUUUAUACAUACACAUGGCUGUUUAUAACCGCUCUGGGAAUCCCUUUGUUUCCAUCCCUAUGUUGGUGGGAACAGGGUGGGGGGUGCUUUGGUGCUGCAGCUUUGUCGUGGCAGGUUGAAGAGUCAGACACACCAUCCAUCAUCGGGGGCUCCCUGGGGACUCCCCAGGGACUCCUGUGAUGGCUUCGCCGGUGGGCAACAAGAGAGAGCCAGGUCUGGCUUUGCAGGUGGACGAGAGCCUCAAGCUCCCACUGGACUCGUGGGGUCCACGUCUCAGUCCCGUGGGUGGAACAUGUCUACAGGUACCUGUCAGGUUUGGGCAGUGACCUGGGAGAAUGUUUACCAGGCUGGUCCUGGGCUGGUACCCACGGUGUGUGGUUGGGUGAGUCCAGGCUGGUCCUGCGAUGGCUGAGGACAUGCAGGCUGGUCCUGGGCUGGUACCCACGGUGUGCGGUUGGAUGAACGGAGCGUGGGGAGAAGAGGAAGAUGCUGGUGGGGUCUCCGUGGGUCCUCCGGUGCUCUGCAUCCUGCCCUGGGUCGCCCUGGGCAUCCCAAAGCUUUGUCUGGCAAGGACAGGUCCCUGUCUCCCACCAACAGCCCUUCUGGUCCCUCAGAGCCUCAGCUGCUGUGCCCCCGGCGGGGGGGGCGGGGAGGCGGGGGGACAGUUACCACAAUUACACUUUUCCUAACACUGCUUUACGACGCCUGAACCUCCUUGACUUCCGAAGACCUCAUUAGCAGAACCUCGGGCUCGAUGGACAGAUAAAGCGUUAAACCAGGCUGUGAUUCCCGCAUUCCUGCCUUUUUCCGCUUCUGAGAUGGGAACUCCGCCAAAGGAGAAACUAUUUCUCUGAGAAUUGGAUUGGUUGAAAAGCAUAUGCAUGGAUGUCGUGCCAGUGGAAUCCCAGCACGGACUUUUCAUCCUUCCUCUCUCUUUUUUUCACCUUUUGGUUUGGCGUGACUUUUUCUUUUUUUUUUUUUAGUCUUCUUAGUGCUGAAGGCACCUCCGAAAAGCACACACAGAAAAGAACUUAACAGGUUUUCUCUUCGUAAAGUAUUUCACGGUCUAACGUGUCAGUGUCUUCCAUUUGCAUGUGUGUGUUUCCACCAAGAAAAAUACAUCCUUCUGCCGGCACAUGAAGUUAAACUUCACAGUCAAAUAAUGGAGCACACCUCGCCCGAACGCCAGAGGCAUGAAGCAAACGGAUUCUUCUCUCCCUGGCAACCUUGGAAAUGUGCUCAGUUAUUUUUAUGGAUUCUUUGAGCCAACAUAAAAUGCAAGGGGUAUUCCAGCUGGGUAAUUAAAAUCCUAAUGUUCGUGAAGUUUGUGAAAUUCAUGCCUCAUCCCCCUCAGUUGUCUGUGAUCCAAGGAUCCCCCAGGCAUCUUUCUCUCCUCUCAACUGUUCUUUUUCCUUUUUUAAUUAUUUUUUUAGGGUCCCACCCACAGCGUAUGGAGGUUCCCAGGUGAGGGGUCGAAUCGGAGCUGCAGCUGCAGGUCUACACCACAGCCACAGCCACACCGGAUCCGAGCCUCAUCUGCAAACCACACCACCGCUCACGGCAACACCGGACCCUUAACCCAUGGAGUGAGGCCAGGGAUCCAACCUGCAUCGUCAUGGAUACUAGUGGGAUUCUUAACUCGCUGAGCGCUCCCCUCACCCCUGGGAAUCCUUGUAGCCCUAAUAUAAACCCCCAUCAUGGAGCAGAAGCAAUAUUGUAGGGCUUUCCUGGAAGAAGCCCAGACUUUGACCCCCGGGUGUGAUGUUUUAUUUCUCUGAAACUCCAAGACUUUUCAGUGGGUUGAGGGGACCCAAGGAUCCGCUCCAGGAUUACAGAAACGGUGAUGGAUGGAUUAACUGUUCCACGGUCGCCGUGGCUGUGGUGGAGGCCGGCAGCUCUCAUUCAACCCCUAGCCUGGGAACAUCCAUGUGCCACGUGGCCCUAAAAAGCACACACACACACGAAGGCUGCCAUUGCAUAUGUACAUGGAGCGGAUGGCCGACAGGGACCUGCUGUCGAGCACAGAGAACUUGACCCAAUAUUCCACGAUCAUCUCUGGGGAAAGAAUCUGAGAGAGAAUGCACGUGUGUACAUGUGUCUCUCCAUCCCUUUGUCGUCCAGCAGAAACCAUCACAGCCUCGCACGUUAACUCUACUUCAGUACAACGUGAAAAAACAGAAAUAAGAAUACAAUAAAACAUGGCCGUUGCAGCAGGUGGGAAACAGAAGAGCAGGCACCUGUGACCUUGGGGUAUACCCAGAAGGCCAUGGUGGAUCAAAGUUAUUUUCCUUUUCAAAGAAUCCAAAAAAGAAUAUGCACGUGUGUGAGUGUGUGUGUGCACGCGUGUGCUUUUAUGUGUAAAUGAACCACUUUGCUGUACACUUGACGCUAGCAGAGCACUGGAAAUCCAUUAUACUCAACUGGAGUAACCAGAAGGCGAUGGUGGAUCCAAUUAUUUUCCUUCUCCAAGAAUCUGAAAAGGCAUCCAUGUGCGGGGUACGUCGGUGUGUGUACAGGAAUCACUUUGCUGGACCCUCGAAAUGAACACGACACAGGACGUGAAUUAUACGCCAUUUGAAUACCCAGAACGCCACGUGGAUCAAAGUUAUUUUCCUUUUCAAAGGAUCUACAAAGAAGAAUGUGUGUGUCUGGGUGAAACUCCAAGCCCUCUCCAUGGGUUGAGCGGACCCGAGGGUGGCAGGAGGAUUACAGAAAGGGUGAUGGGUGAACUGUCACACUGGUGCUGAGGCUGUGGGGGAGGCUGGCCCCUGCAGCUCCCGUUAGACCCCUAGCCCGGGAACAUCCAUGUGCCGCAGGUGCAGCCCUGAAAU
rnacentral:lncRNA from 1 species